GCUGCAGAAAGGGAAUCCCAGACAGGGGUAACAGUAGAUGCAAAGGCCCCAUGGCAGGCACCAACUCAUACAGGUUUGCCCAGAACUUUCCCAGUUUUAACACUAGAAAUCCCAUGUCCUAGAAAACUUCUGAGUCUCAGCCAAGCUGGGAUGAUUUGCCUGGAACUGCCCCUGUUAUAAAACUGAGAGGUCUGUGCCCCACGACCCCCCUCAGUCCUGAGCAAGCUGAGACAGUGGAUUGCCCUAGACUGGAGCAACGUGCAUGACGGUGGGAAGAGCCAGUGACUCUCUUUCAUGUCCUCUCUCCCCUCAACCUCAGGAGUCACCCAGGUGGGCACUGACAUCCAGGAUGAAAACUUCCCAGCAUCCCUUGCAGCAAGCAGUGGCCACGUGACCAGGCAGUGGCCAAUGCACAUGAGGCCAGUGCACAGCAACUGCCAUUAGAGGAAGGAAGAUUUGUGUCCUCUUGUUCUCUUCUCCCCUCCCUGCUGGCUGGCAGUAGAUAGGAUGGACACUGUGGGGGAAGCUACACCCUAAGGAAGUCAAAGCAGCAAGAUGGAAGUACCCUAAGACCCUGAAAAAUGCACAGAGAAGAAUCACCUGACUGGCUUGAACUUUCAUGUGAAAGGAAUGAACCUCUGUCUUAGUAAAGCCACCGUGAUUCAGGGUCCUUGUCACAUUCACUGAGGCUGUAACAUAAUUGUUAGAAAGAACAGGAGCGGGAGGGGGGAUGGAGUCGGAGAGGCAGGCAGAGGUCAGAUCACAUGGGGCCUGUAGGCCAAGGCGGAGGAAGAAACAGGCAACAUAGGACUCAAGGACCACACCUGCUCCCAGGCAAAGGGAGUUUGCUGUGGGUGCCCCUCCCUGUCUGUGUGUCCAGUGUGUGGCUAUUAUUUAUACCUUGCCCAUAUUGUACAAAUACUUUUUUCUAUUCAAUAUUUAGAAGACAUUACAUUAAAUAGCAAGAUGGCAGAUGAACAUCAGGAAGGAACAUUAGGAACAUCCACAGUGUUCCAUCCAGGAACCUUCACCGUGGAAACCCUUGUGCUCAUGGGCGUGGUCUCAAGACACAGUCAGCUGUUGGGGAUCAGAGGCCACACUCAUCGUAGCAGAGAGGCAGGACCAACUGGGAGAGGGUCCUUCUGUGACACCUACUGCAUCACCGGGCUGUGUGAAGUGACUCAGCUGCCAGAACUCACACAAUAUCAUUCUACACCAAAACCUCAUGGGAAAAAUGCUCCACGACCCUCAGGCUUAAACAGCAGUACUGGCCCCUCCCCAGAUCUCCAGCUCCCUGACCCUCAAACUCCAACUGCAGCACCAGCUCCGCCCCGGGUCUCCAGCUCCACAAUCCUCAAACUACAACAGCAGCACCAGCUCCCCUGUGGAUCUCCAGCUCAAUGACUCUCAGACUUGGGAGGCGGCACCGGCUCCCCACCAAGCCUCCAGCUCCACAACCUUCAAAC